rnacentral:rRNA from 1 species
AUUGAACGCUGGCGGCAUGCCUUACACAUGCAAGUCGAACGGUAACAGGUCUUCGGAUGCUGACGAGUGGCGAACGGGUGAGUAAUACAUCGGAACGUGCCCGAGAGUGGGGGAUAACGAGGCGAAAGCUUUGCUAAUACCGCAUACGAUCUCAGGAUGAAAGCAGGGGACCGCAAGGCCUUGCGCUCACGGAGCGGCCGAUGGCAGAUUAGGUAGUUGGUGGGAUAAAAGCUUACCAAGCCGACGAGCUGUAGCUGGUCUGAGAGGACGACCAGCCACACUGGGACUGAGACACGGCCCAGACUCCUACGGGAGGCAGCAGUGGGGAAUUUUGGACAAUGGGCGCAAGCCUGAUCCAGCCAUGCCGCGUGCAGGAUGAAGGCCUUCGGGUUGUAAACUGCUUUUGUACGGAACGAAAAGACUCCUUCUAAUAAAGGGGGUCCAUGACGGUACCGUAAGAAUAAGCACCGGCUAACUACAUGCCAGCCGCCGCCGUAAAAC